GACGAACGCUGGCGGCGUGCCUAAUACAUGCAAGUAGAACGCUGAAGGAGGAGCUUGCUUCUCUGGAUGAGUUGCGAACGGGUGAGUAACGCGUAGGUAACCUGCCUGGUAGCGGGGGAUAACUAUUGGAAACGAUAGCUAAUACCGCAUAAGAGUAGAUGUCGCAUGACAUUUGCUUAAAAGGUGCAAUUGCAUCACUACCAGAUGGACCUGCGUUGUAUUAGCUAGUUGGUGAGGUAACGGCUCAACAAGGCAACGAUACAUAGCCGACCUGAGAGGGUGAACGGCCACACUGGGACUGAGACACGGCCCAGACUCCUACGGGAGGCAGCAGUAGGGAAUCUUCGGCAAUGGACGGAAGUCUGACCGAACAACGCCGCGUGAGUGAAGAAGGUUUUCGGAUCGUAAAGCUCUGUUGUAAGAGAAGAACGAGUGUGAGAGUGGAAAGUUCACACUGUGACGGUAUCUUACCAGAAAGCGACGGCUAACUACGUG
rnacentral:rRNA from 1 species